rnacentral:rRNA from 1 species
AACGAACGCUGGCGGCAGGCUUAACACAUGCAAGUCGAGCGCCCCGCAAGGGGAGCGGCAGACGGGUGAGUAACGCGUGGGAACGUGCCCUUCUCUACGGAACAGUCCUGGGAAACUGGGUUUAAUACCGUAUACGCCCUUUUGGGGAAAGAUUUAUCGGAGAAGGAUCGGCCCGCGUUGGAUUAGGUAGUUGGUGGGGUAAUGGCCUACCAAGCCGACGAUCCAUAGCUGGUUUGAGAGGAUGAUCAGCCACACUGGGACUGAGACACGGCCCAGACUCCUACGGGAGGCAGCAGUGGGGAAUCUUAGACAAUGGGGGCAACCCUGAUCUAGCCAUGCCGCGUGAGUGAUGAAGGCCUUAGGGUUGUAAAGCUCUUUCAGCUGGGAAGAUAAUGACGGUACCAGCAGAAGAAGCCCCGGCUAACUCCGUGCCAGCAGCCGCCGUAACAC